rnacentral:lncRNA from 1 species
AAAAAAUAAUAGAACUUCUAUAAGGACUUACAGUAUAGCUGUUCAUAUAGCAUUUAUAUAGUAUUAGGUGUUAAUCCAGAAAUGGUGUAAAGUCUAUGGGAUGUCGUGGGUAGGCUACAUGCAGAUGCUAACCCCCUUACGUGAGGGGCUGGAGCGUUCCUCCCACACCUGCAGAGACCUGAGGAUGAUUGUUGUGAUUACUUCCUGCCAUUGGUUAUGGAGUAGAAGCUGGUUGCCUGAUUGCAGAGCUCUGCUCCCUGAAAUGGAGAUGCAAGAAAGCAGUGUGGUUUUCUUGUGAAUGGGGGCCCAGUGGCCCUGCUUUGUGACUUUCUGUAUACUCACACAGGACAAUGUCUUUCGCAGGGUUGGAGCCUAACCAUUUGCCUCAUCAUUUUUGUUUGUUUCUUUGUUUUGUUCUUGCUUUUGAGACAUGGUCUCACAGUGUAGCCCAGCUGACCUUGAUUGCCCUGCCUCAAGCUCCUGAGUACUGGGAUUACAGGCAUGAACCACCAUACCUGGCCUACUCUCAUUGUUUAAAAUGAGGAGAAAUGUGUAUUAGGAAUCUACCACUUUUUAAGAUUUGAAUGGUUAGAAAAAUAGAGUAUAGCUGGGAAGCAGGUUACCAUAACUUCCCACCUUUUGUAUAUUAAUGAAGCAUUUGAACCCGAGUUUGGGAGUUUUGGGAUUGGAAGCAACAGUUCAUGUCUGUAAAAGUUGCCUCUCUCCUUCCUUAUGGGUUACUUUAAUCUGUGGACUCUGCAGUUGCAUGGCGACCCCAAUGGUGAAGUUCCAUCUUCAUGGAAAAUCCAUAGAAAAACACCUGGCCGAGUUUGCCAGCCAGACGCUGAACUCUUCUACCAGGCACAAGACUAAUUUGGCUGCCCACACCUCCGACAGUGCUGUGUGUGUGGCACGCAGGGUUUCAUCACCUUACAUGGUUGUGAACCGAUGAACCUGUGUCCCCAUAAAAAGACGGACAACCCACUGUGUGAACUAUAGUUUGUGGACACAUUUAUAUUGGUGAGUUACUGCCAGAUAUCUCCAGGUAAAAGUUCAGUUUUCUAAAAUCCCCUUUGGAAUGUGUUUUCAGUCAGUUGAUGACUAUGGAUCGCCGGCAGCCCCUGAUGUUUCACUGGGAUGUCUAAUAGUAGGAUCAUAUUGAUUGUCUUUCAAUUAAUUGCAUCUGGUAUUUUCAUUUAUCAAAAGCAAAAUACAUGUAAUGAACUCUGAAGCAAUACAGUUCAGUGAAAAGUGAUUUUUUUUUUUUUUUUUGCUGCUGCUACUAUAGAGAUAAGUCAAUGGAAAUUAUACUACAAGAAAGCUCAAGCCAGAUGGAAAUAGCGUUAGGGCUUUCCGAUGUAUUAAUUAAAAAGAAUAAAAAUGAAUUAGGGAGAUGGUCUCCUGCCA